GCUUACGGCCACACCGCCUGGUUCACGCCCGUCUCGGAAGCUAACAUAGGUUGGGCCUGGUUAGUACUUGGAUGGGAGACCGCCUGGGAAUACCAGGUGCUGUAAGCU
rnacentral:rRNA from 1 species